UACGUAGGGUGCAAGCGUUAAUCGGAAUUACUGGGCGUAAAGCGUGCGCAGGCGGCUUUGCAAGACAGAUGUGAAAUCCCCGGGCUUAACCUGGGAACUGCAUUUGUGACUGCAAGGCUAGAGUACGGUAGAGGGGGAUGGAAUUCCGCGUGUAGCAGUGAAAUGCGUAGAUAUGCGGAGGAACACCGAUGGCGAAGGCGGCUUUCUGGGACGGUACUGACGCUGAGACGCGAAAGCGUGGGGAGCGAACAGG
rnacentral:rRNA from 1 species